AAACGGUAGCUAAUACCGCAUGACGUCUUCGGACCAAAGUGGGGGACCUUCGGGCCUCACGCCAUCAGAUGUGCCCAGAUGGGAUUAGCUAGUAGGUGGGGUAAUGGCUCACCUAGGCGACGAUCUCUAGCUGGUCUGAGAGGAUGACCAGCCACACUGGAACUGAGACACGGUCCAGACUCCUACGGGAGGCAGCAGUGGGGAAUAUUGCACAAUGGGCGCAAGCCUGAUGCAGCCAUGCCGCGUGUAUGAAGAAGGCCUUCGGGUUGUAAAGUACUUUCAGCGAGGAGGAAGGCAUUGUGGUUAAUAACCACAGUGAUUGACGUUACUCGCAGAAGAAGCACCGGCUAACUCCGUGCCAGCAGCCGCGGUAAUACGGAGGGUGCAAGCGUUAAUCGGAAUUACUGGGCGUAAAGCGCACGCAGGCGGUUGAUUAAGUCAG
rnacentral:rRNA from 1 species